CAUUGAGAAGCUAUGAACCAGCACUAGCCUUUUAAGCUAGAGAAAGAGGGUAUACCCCUCCUUAAUGA
rnacentral:tRNA from 1 species